GGGAAGGAUAGAAGGGGGGAAAGAAAAGGGAAAGAGAGGGGAGGAAGGAGAGUAUGCCUGUUUGAGGGUCAGUUUAAAUAAAAAUCGGUGUGGUUGCUGCCUUUCGGGGUGACGCACCGGAUUUGGGUCGUCUUGCCUUCGGUUAAGUGACCUAAAAUUUUGCAUGAUUUUUUUCGAACGUAUUUAAAUGAUUUUACGUACGUUUGCGAUCGGAACCAAGACGUGUGGUCAUGAACAUGCGG
rnacentral:misc_RNA from 1 species